rnacentral:rRNA from 1 species
GACGAACGCUGGCGGCGUGCUUAACACCUGCAAGUCGAACGGAGUGGCGAACGGGUGAGUAACACGUGGGUGACCUGCCCUGCACUCCGGGAUAAGCCUGGGAAACUGGGUCUAAUACCGGUUAGUGGGGGAUGGGCCCGCGGCCUAGCAGCUUGUUGGUGGGGUAAUGGCUUACCAAGGCGGCGACGGGUAGCCGGCCUGAGCGUGUGGACGGCCACCUUGGGACUGAGACACGGACCAGACUCCUACGGGAGGCAGCAGUGGAGAAGAUUGCACAAUGGGAGGAAGCCUGAUGCAGCGACGCCGCGUGGGGGAUGACGGCCUUCGAGUUGUAAACUCCUUUCACCAUCGACGCGGUAGAUGGAGAAGAAGCACCGGCUAACUACGUGCCAGCAGCCGCGGUAAUAC